AUUGAACGCUGGCGGCAUGCCUUACACAUGCAAGUCGAACGGUAACGCGGGGCAACCUGGCGACGAGUGGCGAACGGGUGAGUAAUAUAUCGGAACGUGCCCAAUAGUGGGGGAUAGCCCGGCGAAAGCCGGAUUAAUACCGCAUACGACCUGAGGGUGAAAGCGGGGGAUCGCAAGACCUCGCGCUAUUGGAGCGGCCGAUAUCAGAUUAGGUAGUUGGUGGGGUAAAGGCCUACCAAGCCUACGAUCUGUAGCUGGUCUGAGAGGACGACCAGCCACACUGGGACUGAGACACGGCCCAGACUCCU
rnacentral:rRNA from 1 species